AAAAAAAACAAACCCUGGUUUCUGUGCCCAACGUUUAACCGUCCGUCUUAUUUUAAAAAAUUAUGAAAAAAAAUAAAAAGACAAAUCACGCAUAAAAUAUUAAUCAUGUUUUAUCAUCUAACAACAAUAAAAAUACGAAUUAUAAAAAAAUUUCAUAUAAGACGGACAGUCAAAGUUGGACACGGAUACCCAGGGUUUGCCUUUUU
rnacentral:pre_miRNA from 1 species